rnacentral:rRNA from 1 species
GUGAGGAAUAUUGGUCAAUGGGCGGGAGCCUGAACCAGCCAAGUCGCGUGAAGGAAGAAGGAUCUAUGGUUCGUAAACUUCUUUUGCAGGGGAAUAAAGUGCAGGACGUGUCCUGUUUUGUAUGUACCCUGAGAAUAAGGAUCAGCUAACUCCGUGCCAGCAGCCGCGGUAAUACGGAGGAUCCGAGCGUUAUCCGGAUUUAUUGGGUUUAAAGGGUGCGUAGGUGGUUUGAUAAGUCAGCGGUGAAAGUUUGCAGCUUAACUGUAAAAAUGCCGUUGAAACUGUCGGACUUGAGUGUAAAUGAGGUAGGCGGAAUGCGUGGUGUAGCGGUGAAAUGCAUAGAUAUCACGCAGAACUCCGAUUGCGAAGGCAGCUUACUAAGCUACAACUGACACUGAAGCACGAAAGCGUGGGGAUCAAACAGGAUUAGAAACCCCGGUAGUCC